rnacentral:rRNA from 1 species
AACGAACGCUGGCGGCAUGCCUAACACAUGCAAGUCGAACGAGACCUUCGGGUCUAGUGGCGCACGGUUGCGUAACGCGUGGGAACCUGCCCUUAGGGUCGGAAUAACUCUCCGAAAGGGGUGCUAAUACCGGAUAAGGUCUUCGGCCCAAAGAUUUAUCGACUUAGGAUGGGCCAGCGUUGCAUAAGGUGGUGGGUAGGGUAAAAGCCUACCAAGGCGACGAUCCAUAGAUGGUCUGAGAGGAUGAUCAGCCACACUGGGACUGAGAAGCGGCCCAGAAUCCUACGGGAGGCAGCAGUGGGUAACAUUGGACCAUGGGCGAAAGGCUGAUCCAGCAAUGCCGCGUGAGUGAUGAAAGCCUUAGGGUUGUAAAGCUCUUUUACCCGGGCUGAUAAUGACAGUACCGGGAGAAUAAGCUCCGGCUAACUCCGUG